AGUGAACGCUGGCGGUAGGCCUAACACAUGCAAGUCGAACGGCAGCACAGUAAGAGCUUGCUCUUACGGGUGACGAGUGGCGGACGGGUGAGGAAUACAUCGGAAUCUACUUUUUCGUGGGGGAUAACGUAGGGAAACUUACGCUAAUACCGCAUACGGCCUACGGGUGAAAGCAGGGGAUCUUCGGACCUUGCGCGAUUGAAUGAGCCGAUGUCGGAUUAGCUAGUUGGCGGGGUAAAGGCCCACCAAGGCGACGAUCCGUAGCUGGUCUGAGAGGAUGAUCAGCCACACUGGAACUGAGACACGGUCCAGACUCCUACGGGAGGCAGCAGUGGGGAAUAUUGGACAAUGGGCGCAAGCCUGAUCCAGCCAUACCGCGUGGGUGAAGAAGGCCUUCGGGUUGUAAAGCCCUUUUGUUGGGAAAGAAAAGCAGCAGGUUAAUACCCCGCUGUUCUGACGGUACCCAAAGAAUAAGCACCGGCUAACUUCGUG
rnacentral:rRNA from 1 species